AACGAACGCUGGCGGCAGGCCUAACACAUGCAAGUCGAGCGCGCCUUCGGGUGAGCGGCGGACGGGUGAGUACCGCGUGGGAAUAUGCCCUUCUCUACGGAGUAGUCCUGGGAAACUGGGGGUAAUACCGUAUACGCCCUUUGGGGGAAAGAUUUAUCGGGGAAGGAUUAGCCCGCGUUGGAUUAGGUAGUUGGUGGGGUAAUGGCCUACCAAGCCGACGAUCCAUAGCUGGUUUGAGAGGAUGAUCAGCCACACUGGGACUGAGACACGGCCCAGACUCCUACGGGAGGCAGCAGUGGGGAAUCUUAGACAAUGGGGGCAACCCUGAUCUAGCCAUGCCGCGUGAGUGAUGAAGGCCUUAGGGUUGUAAAGCUCUUUCAGCUGGGAAGAUAAUGACGGUACCAGCAGAAGAAGCCCCGGCUAACUCCGUG
rnacentral:rRNA from 1 species